rnacentral:rRNA from 1 species
UGGAGAGUUUGAUCCUGGCUCAGAGUGAACGCUGGCGGCGUGCCUAACACAUGCAAGUCGAACGAUGACGGAGGAGCUUGCUCUUCCUGAUUAGUGGCGCACGGGUGAGUAAUGCAUAGAUAAUGUGCCCCUUAGUUCGGGAUAGCCACUGGAAACGGUGAUUAAUACCGGAUACUCCUUCUUGUCUCAAGACAAGUCGGGAAAGUUUUUCGCUAAGGGAUCAGUCUAUGUUCCAUCAGCUAGUUGGUGAGGUAAUGGCUCACCAAGGCAAUGACGGAUAUCUGGUUUGAGAGGAUGAUCAGACACACUGGAACUGAGACACGGUCCAGACUCCUACGGGAGGCAGCAGUGAGGAAUAUUGCACAAUGGAGGAAACUCUGAUGCAGCAACGCCGCGUGGAGGAUGACGCAUUUCGGUGUGUAAACUCCUUUUAUUAGGGAAGAUUAUGACGGUACCUAAUGAAUAAGCUCCGGCUAACUCC